rnacentral:tRNA from 1 species
GUGCUCGUAGCUCAACUGGAUAGAGCGUCGGCCUCCGAAGCCGAAGGUUGCAGGUUCGACUCCCGCCGAGCAUA